rnacentral:sRNA from 2 species
AUUCUAUCCAUGUGGGGAAGGAUGAGAAGCUUCGACUAAGGUUCGAUUCGAGCGCAGCGAGAAAGCGUUGCCGCAGGCAACGACCCGAAGGGCGAAGCGCGCAGCGCUGAGUCAUCCUUCCCCCACCACCA